ensembl:lncRNA
CAAGGCUACAUACCUAGACAAGGGACCACCCACUGUUCUGGAGAAGAGCUGUUAGUUCCAGCUGUCUGCCCUCAUGCAUGCAGCUGUGGGAGGAGUUCCGGAGUCACGACCAGAUUCCUUAAGGGGUUUCAAAACUGGGCCCUUCUGCUGAUAGCUCAGCUGCUUCUGGCUUAGCUCUUCCCACCCCACCUCCAUCCCCACCUCUGUAGGACCCAUUUCCCUUGCUGGGUCACUAACCUCAGAACACCUUGGCCUGGCUAAGAUUUGAGAUGUACAUUCCUCCUCAGUGUUUCCAAUUAGCCAUUUCCCCACAGGAGUUUCUUCAGCCCACCCUGCUUCACCUUUUUCUUACUGAGGGUUUGACUGCUAAUGGCAAAGACAGAUGGAAAUAAAGUAGCCAGCUUGGGAGGAAAUCAGAUUCACAGGGAGUCUGGCCAUCCAAUCCAGAGAAGAUCUGAAUUUUCUUUUACUAGGAGCCAGGAGCAGGAGGACAGCGAAGACAGCAGUGGUGCGGCUGAAAGACAUUACUGAGGAAGUUAUGCUAAAUCAGAGCCCAAGCCUUGCAAGGCAGGAGACACGGGUUUGAUCCCUGAUCAGGGAACUGAAAUUCUACAUGCCCAGAGACCACUAAGCAGGCACACAGCGACCACUGAGCCUACGUGCCACAGCUGGAGAGCCCCGUGCCACAGCAAAAGAUCCCGCCUGAUGCCACAAAGACACAAGGAUGCAG